CCUACGGGGGGCAGCAGUGGGGAAUAUUGCACAAUGGGGGAAACCCUGAUGCAGCGACGCCGCGUGAGUGAAGAAGUAUUUCGGUAUGUAAAGCUCUAUCAGCAGGGAAGAAAAAAGACGGUACCUGACUAAGAAGCCCCGGCUAACUACGUGCCAGCAGCCGCGGUAAUACGUAGGGGGCAAGCGUUAUCCGGAUUUACGGGGUGUAAAGGGAGCGUAGACGGAGAAGCAAGUCUGAAGUGAAAGCCCGUGGCUUAACCACGGGACUGCUUUGGAAACUGUUUGACUAGAGUGCUGGAGAGGUAAGUGGAAUUCCAUGUGUAGCGGUAAAAUGCGUAGAUAUAUGGAAGAACACCAGUGGCGAAGGCGGCCGCCUGGCCUGUUAACUGACGCUGAGGCACGAAAGCGUGGGGAGCAAAUAGGAUUAGAUACCCGGGUAGUC
rnacentral:rRNA from 1 species